rnacentral:rRNA from 1 species
CGUAGGGUGCAAGCGUUAAUCGGAAUACUGGGCGUAAAGCGUGCGCAGGCGGUUUGGUAAGACAGAUGUGAAAUCCCCGGGCUCAACCUGGGAAUUGCAUUUGUGACUGCCCGGCUAGAGUGUGUCAGAGGGGGGUAGAAUUCCACGUGUAGCAGUGAAAUGCGUAGAGAUGUGGAGGAAUACCGAUGGCGAAGGCAGCCCCCUGGGAUAACACUGACGCUCAUGCACGAAAGCGUGGGGAGCAAACAGGA